rnacentral:rRNA from 1 species
GGCGUGCCUAACACAUGCAAGUCGAGCGGAGUUAAUCAAUGGUGUAAGCCAUUGAUUAUCUUUAGCGGCGGACGGGUGAGUAACACGUAGGUGACCUACCCCUAGGAGUGGGAUAACUACUGGAAACGGUGGCUAAUACCACAUAAAGUCAUAGGAUUGAAGGCCUAUGACCAAAUGUUUUUUAGCUGCCUAGGGAUGGGCCUGCGGCCUAUCAGGUAGUUGGUAGGGUAAUGGCCUACCAAGCCUAAGACGGGUAGCCGAUCUGAGAGGACGGACGGCCACACUGGGACUGACACACCGCCCACACUCCUACGGGAGGCAGCAGUGGGGAAUCUUGGACAAUGGGCGAAAGCCUGAUCCAGCGACGCCGCGUGGAGGAAGAAGGCCUUCGGGUUGUAAACUCCUUUUAGAGGGAAAAAGGAAGGAUGGUACCCUCUGAAUAAGUCACGGCUAACUCUGUGCCAGCAGCCGCGGUAAGACAGAGGUGGCAAGCGUUGCUCGGAAUUACUGGGCAUAAAGGGCGUGUAGGCGGUCAUGCAAGUGCUGGGUGA